UGCGUAGGGGGCAAGCGUUGUCCGGAAUCAUUGGGCGUAAAGAGCGUGUAGGCGGUCCGAUAAGUCCGCUCUGAAAGCCCGGGGCUCAACCCCGGGAGGCGGGCGGAUACUGUCGGGCUAGAGUCCGGAAGAGGCAAGUGGAAUUCCUGGUGUAGCGGUGAAAUGCGCAGAUAUCAGGAAGAACACCCGUGGCGAAGGCGGCUCUCUGGGACGGUACUGACGCUGAGACGCGAAAGCGUGGGGAGCGAACAGG
rnacentral:rRNA from 1 species